GACAGAGGUGCCGAGCGUUAGGCGGAAUCACUGGGCUUAAAGCGUGUGUAGGCGGACGGGUAAGUACCUUGUGAAAUCCCACGGCUCAACCGUGGAACUGCUGGGUAUACUGCCUGGCUUGAGUCAUCUAGGGGCGAGCGGAACAAAUGGUGGAGCGGUGAAAUGCGUAGAUAUCAUUUGGAACGCCAAUGGUGAAAACAGCUCGCUGGGGAUGUACUGACGCUGAGACACGAAAGCCAGGGGAGCAAACGGG
rnacentral:rRNA from 1 species